rnacentral:rRNA from 1 species
UACGUAGGGUGCAAGCGUUGUCCGGAAUUAUUGGGCGUAAAGAGCUCGUAGGCGGUCUGUCGCGUCGGCUGUGAAAACUCGGGGCUCAACUCCGAGCUUGCAGUCGAUACGGGCAGGCUAGAGUUCGGCAGGGGAGACUGGAAUUCCUGGUGUAGCGGUGAAAUGCGCAGAUAUCAGGAGGAACACCGGUGGCGAAGGCGGGACUCUGGGCCGAUACUGACGCUGAGGAGCGAAAGCGUGGGGAGCGAACAGG